UUUAACCAGGUUUUCCGAAGGAAAAAACUGGUUAUUAGAUUGGCGAAUGCGGGCGGGCUGGCUGGCUGGCUGGCUGGCGGGCUGGCUGGCUGGCGGAAUAAGCUUGUCCGGGCCAUAACUAUGUCGUUCAUUGUCAGAUUUUAAAAUCAUUUGGCACAUUUGUUCACCAUCAUUGGACGGUGUGUCGCGCGAAAUAAUUACGUCGAUAUCUCCAAGGUCAAGGUCACACUUUGAGUUCAAAGGUCAAAAAUGGCCAUAAAUGAGCUUGUCCUGGCCAUAACUAUGUCAUUCAUUGUGAGAUUUUAAAAUCAUUUGGCACAUUUGUUCACCAUCAUGGGACGGUGUGUCCCACGAAAGAAUCACGUCAAUAUCUCCAAUGUCAAGGUCGCCACGACUAAAAAUAGAUUUAAAAAAAAAAAAAAAACUUACAAAGGGGGUUAAUUUUUUUUGGUCAUUUCAAAAGUU